GUGGGGAAUAUUCCGCAAUGGACGAAAGUCUGACGGAGCAACGCCGCGUGAGUGAUGAAGGUUUUCGGACUGUAAAGCUCUGUUGUUUAGGACGAAAGUGCCUGUUGCAAAUAGUUACAGGUAUUGACGGUACUGAACGAGGAAGCCACGGCUAACUACGUGCCAGCAGCCGCGGUAAUACGUAGGUGGCAAGCGUUGUCCGGAAUUAUUGGGCGUAAAGAGCAUGUAGGCGGGAAUCUAAGUCUGUUGUGAAAAUGCGGGGCUCAACCCCGUAUUGCGAUGGAAACUGGGUUUCUUGAGUGCAGGAGAGGAGAGGGGAAUUCCCAGUGUAGCGGUGAAAUGCGUAGAUAUUGGGAGGAACACCAGUGGCGAAGGCGCCUUUCUGGACUGUGUCUGACGCUGAGAUGCGAAAGCCAGGGUAGCGAACGGGAUUAGAAACCCUUGUAGUCC
rnacentral:rRNA from 1 species